rnacentral:rRNA from 1 species
CCCUGCCAUUUGUACACACCGCCCGUCGCACCUACCGAUUGGAUGGUCCGAUGAGACCUCCGGACUUUGCCGUGGUUUAUCUUCGGAUGGCUGCGGCGAGGGAAGUUGGUCAAAUCUUACCAUCUAGAGGAAGGUGAAGUCGUAACAAGG